rnacentral:rRNA from 1 species
UCCGGAGGGGGCUAGCGUUGUUCGGAAUUACUGGGCGUAAAGCGCACGUAGGCGGCUUUGCAAGUUAGAGGUGAAAGCCUGGGGCUCAACUCCAGAACUGCCUUUAAAACUGCAUCGCUUGAAUCCAGGAGAGGUGAGUGGAAUUCCGAGUGUAGAGGUGAAAUUCGUAGAUAUUCGGAAGAACACCAGUGGCGAAGGCGACUUACUGGACGAUUGUUGACGCUGAGGUGCGAAAGCGUGGGGAGCAAACAGG